rnacentral:rRNA from 1 species
AUUGAACGCUGGCGGCGUGCUUAACACAUGCAAGUCGAGCGGUAAGGCCCUUUCGGGGGUACACGAGCGGCGAACGGGUGAGUAACACGUGGGUGACCUGCCUUCAGCUCUGGGAUAAGCCUGGGAAACUGGGUCUAAUACCGGAUAUGACUCCAUGAUGCAUGUUGUGGGGUGGAAAGCUUUUGCGGCUGGAGAUGGGCCCGCGGCCUAUCAGCUUGUUGGUGGGGUGAUGGCCUACCAAGGCGA